rnacentral:lncRNA from 1 species
AGCCAACAGUUUUGGUCUACCAUUUCUCAGUGCUUAUCUUAAUUCUCUGGGGUCCAAUUACACAAAUGGUGCAAACUUUGCCACGGCUGCUUCUACAAUCCGACUACCGACUAGCAUAAUACCUGCAGGUGGGCUCAGUCCAUUCUACCUGGACUUGCAAUACGAUCAGUUUGUGCAAUUCAAGUCCAGAACACUAAAGAUAAGGAAACGAGGUAAAUGAUAAUUUAACAUUAAUAGACGUUUUGUAGUGCAUAGCUAUAUAAAUGAUAUUUUUCUAAGUGGCUUUUAAUGAUUUUUAGGUGGGGUGUACAAGGACUUAAUGCCCAAGGAGGAGUAUUUUCCCAAAGCUCUAUACACGUUGGACAUCGGUCAGAAUGAUCUUGGUGAAGGGUUCUUUGCUAACAAGUCAAUCCAGGAAGUCAAUGCAACUGUCCCUGAUAUAAUCAAUGGUUUCUCCACCAAUGUCAGGGUAAUCCUUAGAUUAGGGACUUCGAUUUAAUGUAUGUUUUGAAGCAUUUCCUUUCUGGNNNNNNNNNNNNNNNNNNNNNNNNNNNNNNNNNNNNNNNNNNNNNNNNNNNNNNNNNNNNNNNNNNNNNNNNNNNNNNNNNNNNNNNNNNNNNNNNNNNNUAUGUUUUGAAGCAUUUCCUUUCUGGGUCUCGUUUUUUCAUAGCUUUUUUCUCUCUGUCACAACUUAUUGCAUAGUACUGAGACUAUGUACAUGAAUGAAUCACAUGAUGAUGCAGCGUAUUUACAAGUCGGGAGCAAGAUCAUUCUGGAUUCACAACACAGGACCCAUCGGCUGCCUCGCCUAUAUCUUGGUCAAUUUUCAGGCAGCUCAAAGGGACAGCGCCGGUUGUUCAAAGCCUCACAAUGAAGUGGCUCAGUACUUCAACUACAAGUUGAAGGAGGCUGUUGCCCAACUCCGGAAGGACUUUCCUUUAGCUGCAAUUACAUAUGUCGAUGUCUACUCUGUCAAGUAUUCCCUCUUUAGCCAACCCAAGAAAUAUGGUAAGCCAUAUGAUGAUAUAUAUAUAGGAAAAUAGUAGCUCGUGUCAUCUAACUUUAACUCAUUUAUGCACCAUGUUGUUAACAAAUGAUGCUUUUCUCAUAAUCUGCAGGGUUUGAGCUUCCACUUGUGGUUUGCUGUGGCUAUGGAGGUGAGUACAACUAUGGCAAUGAUGCCAGCUGUGGUAGUACCAUUACUGUUAAUGGUAGCCAAAUUUUUGUGGGAUCAUGUGAGCGCCCUUCACUUCGAGUGAAUUGGGAUGGAGUUCACUACACUGAGGCAGCUAACAAAUUUGUUUUUGAUCAAAUCUCCAGUGGAGCAUUUUCAGAUCCGCCUCUGCCCUUAAAAAUGGCAUGUCAUAGGAACGCUUCAUAUUGAAGGCAGACCAACGUGCACUUCUGUUGGUAUUAUCAUUAAUGUAUGCUCCUGGUUCUGGGUAAUAAGUAAUAAGCAUCAUGCAUUGAUCAAAGGGUAGCCUAAAAUGUACCUUUCUUGUAUGUAAUAAGCAUCAUGCAUUGAUCAAAGGGUAGCCUAAAAUGUACCCUUCUUGUAUGUAAUAAGCAUCUAACUCAACAGAGUUAGUGUACUCAUGCUCUCUAAUAUAUUUGGCAAAGCCCAUGUCCUUUAUUGCAGAACCUGCACUUCAUUUGUUAAAUUAUUAUUGUUUCACAGACAUGAAUAAGCCUGUUUUAAAAGGAAAUUGAGAGCAAAAAUGAAAAUAAAAAUAAAAAUGGGGCUGUGUAGAAAGGUGGGUGACGUGGGUCUAAUUUAAUAGUGACUUGAAAAUAUCCGAAGUAUGAUUCUUUGAAGAUUGAAGAAUCUUCAUAGGGUGUUUACUUCAAAAUUACACCUACCUUAAAAGUUUCCUUGAAUUGAAUUUAGCACAAUAGACACUCAUCAAUUAAACCAACCAAGAUAUUGUUUUGAUACAUUUUUGGUUGUCUAUUUUUAAAAAUAUAAAAAUAAUAAUAAUAAUAACUUUUAUCCAAAAAUGAUACUGAAAAAAAAAAACUUUAAAAUUUAAAAAUGAAAGAUAAAUUCAUACAUUUUAUAUAAUAUUUACUAAUUUUUUUAUUAUUUUUAUUUUAAAAAUAGAAAAUAUAGAAUGAAUAUUGUAAUUAACACUAAAUUUUAAUAUUUUUGAUAUGCAUUAUGGGGAAAUGGACAUUGAUCAUUUUCUAGAAUGUAGAAUUUUUAUUUGCAUAAUGAAGCAUAAGUUUUUGUUUGUAUGUUAGCCAAUACCUUACUUGUGGUGGAAAAGCCAAAGACACACAUGACAAAUUUCUAUGAAACGUUAUCUUCCAAGUUGCGGGUCCAAAUAUGCAUGCUGUGUCGUGUCGAGAAGAAUUAGCCAGGAGGCAACAUGUGAGCUCCUACAAAGUCAAGGCCUCCAUGAACGUGUUUGGAAUUUAUUUUCUCUAAUAUUAUAUAUAAAUUCAAAUUUUAGAUCUGACAAAAUCUUCAAGCUCGUGAAAGAAACUAAUAAAAACGAAUAUGAGACUAGAGUUAACUGCAAGGCUUUUAAGGUCAUGUUUGUCUGAUUUCAUGCAGCCUUAUCUUACUGCAAAGAUCACACGUAAGUUUGAAGAAAUUUUUGUAACUGAGCUUAAAUAUCACCGAGUCCUAGAAAUUAAAUUCAGUGGAAAAGUCCACCUUGUCACAGUAUACAAAUUUUUGUUCUCCCUUUUUGGAUAAUUACCCUUACAGGUAGGCUAGAAAAAAUAUGAUUGAUAAGGAUGGGUAUAUUUAAUAAUUCUUCUUAAGGGUAGGGUGAAAUUAAGAUAAUUUUUCUAAAGACCUUAUUUUUUUUGAAUGUCAAUACUACCCUUAAUAAGUGAAAAUCAACAGCAAAAUGUAAGAUUUUUGUCGAUAUUGAAGAAGAAAAAAAUCCAACACUUCAGGUUAUGAUCUGAAACCCUUUUCACAAAGCUUGUAUUUUUGUGUGAAUCUAGUAAGAAAUCCAUUAAAGGUAAGAUUUUUUUAUAAAAAAAAAAAAGCUGAAAAAAACAAAAAUACGUCAGUUUAUGCAAAUAAAUAAAUAAAUAAAUAAGUAAUUUAAAAUUUGGAUUGAAGGAACGAACUGUUAAUAAUUUUAACAAUGUAGAUCUAAAAUAUUAUAUCUGAAAUAUUGAAUGAGGUUUUGAGAAAGAAAUUACAUUUUUUGUGUUGAAUUUUUUUAUUUUAUUUUGGUCAUAUUGAAGAUGUGUUUUUAUUUUUAAUUUAUUUUUUGGGUGAGUUAUUUGAUAUGAUUAUUAUUGAUUUCCAUUAAAAAUGUUUGCACUUUAGUUUUGUUGUUGAGACUUGCUUGACAUGAGAGAAGAAAAAAAUUUCUCAAUUGUUUCAUGCUUUUUUGGAACCACUUUGUUUGAGUAUUUAUGAACAUAUUUGGAUUUUUAUUGAAAACUGAAAAUUAUAAUCAAUUGAGACAUAUUUUAUAUAAUAAAGAACAAUAUUUUUUGUAUAUUAGACAUGUAUAUGCCAAAAAACUCAUAAUUGCCCUAUUUUUAUAUAAAAAAUUAAUUUUAUAGAUUUUUUUUAUACAUCGACAACUUUAUGUAUUGAAAUUACAAUAGUGUAUUUUUGUUAUCUUUUUAUAAUUUUGGCUUGCAAAGAUGCUUUAUGAUAGGAAUACAACAUGAUAGCCUAGAAAUGCUAGUUUAGUAAAAAACGAAUUCAAUAUUUUGUCAUUUUGGUAUAUUAUAAUGUAUCGUAAUGUUAAUAUUUUUUUCAUUAUAACUAUAUUGCAUUUGUAUUGUAAUUAUACUUUAUAAUUGUCAGGAGAGAAGGAGAGAAGAUGUACUUCUCAAUUGGUAAAUGGACUUGAAAAAUUCAGGGUAAAUUGGUCUAAUAAAAAUGUAAGACCUUCAUAAGAAUUAUCAAACCUACCAACGUUUUUCAGUAAUUUUUUUCCCCAAUCGGGUAAUUUUCCCUUCCCUUUUCUUCUUGUUUUCAAAAAACCAACCAUAGGUUAUGAAAAUUUGUUUUUUUCUAGUUUUGGGUUUACCGCUGAAGAAAGAGUCUUUGGAUUUUCUAUAAUUACAAACCGAUAGCAAACCCAGAACCAGUCAAUUUGAUUUGUCAAGAAGCGAUAUGGUAUGGAAAUGAGUUUAUUUAUGGAAUAUUUGUAUUUUGGAGGUGUGGCAAUAAGAUGUAUGUUUGAUGCAGCUGUGGUUCUUGUGGGUACGAACUAAAGCUUUGCGAUCCUCUAAUCGGAACACAAAGAAUAUAGGCUCCAAAUAUGGGAAAAACAUAAAACGCGGCGUCAUAUCAUUUCUCCAAGUUGAUGAGAGUGGCUUUACCCUGGUUGAUGAGUUCAAAUGUAUACCCUACUUCAUCUCCAGGCACUCUUGGGGUUUGUUCUGCCACAGAACCACUUCUUUGCCGUAAGUGUGGCAACCAUGUUGGCAAUGCUUAUGUCAGGAAGUCUCCUUACCCACUUGUGUUCGAUGAAUCGGAUUCUGCCCCAGCCACAGCCACCACUGACAUCUCCACUUGUAGAAAAUAUGACAUUCGACUCCGUGCCCUGCAGCCCUCAUCUUCUGAGCCCUCUGCCAUUCCGCUUCUCACCUGAUCUGCAGAAUCAAACCAAGAAUAUUCUUAUGAGAGGGACUGUAUAGCAAUUGAGUCCUUUGUUUUGGUCUUGGCUUUUUGCUCUUUUGUAUUACUAGAUAGAUGGUGAGUCAGUGACUUGUAAAUAUCAGUUUCCAAGACUGGAUUAUCGAAGUUUUUUAUACUUCCAGUAACUUACAAAUAACACGGUCGAUGUAAUUUCUUGUUCUCACUGUUCUCUGUUAGCCAUGACCAUAAUCACAACAUAUCCUUCUAACUAUGAUCCACAUAUCCUCUUUCCUAUUCAAUUUGGAAACUGGAAAAGUUCAAAAUUCAACGAACUUUCCUUCGCCACGCCCACAGUUUAGGUCAUUGGAUUAGGCAUGCGGACGUGGGCGUUGAGUAUGCUUUUGCGCGCGAGUGUCUUGCUACCUUAGACACGAACCCCUCCUCUUCCACUCAUUUUGUUGCGGAAGGAGGCCAGGCCAUUCUUAUUCAAACAAAUUAGCUGGGAACUUUGAAAUCUUAAACCGUCGUAGAUAUGUGAUAAACUAGUACACCUUGUAUGAGAUAAUCUAAUCCUGAUUAUUGCUAACAUUGUCAAUUUUAAUCAGCUCCGGCCUGUAUGUUGUUGGACCAGUUGCCCACAAACAUGUAGUUCACAUGGAAGUGGGUCCUGAGGUCAGUACCUGUUACAUCUCCAACCACAAAAGAAUUAACUAAAGAUCAAAUGUGCAAUACGAGUACAAUCAGUAAUGGGGCAGUGCACUGACUCAAUUAAAUUAUAUGGUUUGACCAUUAAACACUUUGAAUUUCUUCAUCACGUAAUCCAAAAGUCUACGUCCUCCUCCUCCUCCUCCCUCUCUCUCUCUCUCUCUCUCUCUCUCUCCAUGGAGUCUCCCAGCACCACCAGACUUGCCACUUCUCUCUGCUGUAUUUGCGUGCUUUUAUCUUUUACUACCACAGUGAUCAACCCUGUUGUUGCUUUGGAAAAUUGCAAAUUUCCAGCAAUCUUUAACUUAGGAGCCUCCAGUUCAGACACAGGUGGAUAUGCUGCUGCCUUCUCUCAACCUCCCUGGCCUUAUGGGAGGACCUUUUUCCGCAUGCCAGCAGGCAGAUUCUCAGAUGGUCGCCUCAUGAUUGAUUUCAUUGGUACCAUUUACCUUCUCUUUAAACCUAUUUUCUGCAUAUCUACCUCUCAUUGGCCAAGAGCCAGUGUUUAUAAAAUCGGUACAGGGGACAAGAAAAGCCAAAUUCAGACAUUCAUUUUUAAUUUCAUUUUCCAUCAAAAUUAGAAAAAGGGCUAGGAAAUGCACUGGUUUAGUCUAGGACUAACCGAAACUUGGCAGCAUUAUUGACUUGGGCAAAAUUUACAUGGUUUCAGCCAACAGUUUUGGUCUACCAUUUCUCAGUGCUUAUCUUAAUUCUCUGGGGUCCAAUUACACAAAUGGUGCAAACUUUGCCACGGCUGCUUCUACAAUCCGACUACCGACUAGCAUAAUACCUGCAGGUGGGUUCAGUCCAUUCUACCUGGACUUGCAAUACGAUCAGUUUGUGCAAUUCAAGUCCAGAACACUAAAGAUAAGGAAACGAGGU